CUUUCCACGUUAUCCCGAGUCUCUGUCCUUCCUGACUUUGGCACCGCAACCGAAUGCUGUGUGAGCCCUCCAGCCUGGAAAGCCUUGACCCCAGUGGAAAUUCUGCUUUAAUUUUGGUGGGUCUGCAGUGCUGCCAACUGUGGGACUGGAGCGUGCUUAUCUCGUAGCUAAUUACUGCCCUUCUGAAAUGGAACCACGAGCUUCUCAGCUUUGUAACCGUUUCGAUGCCUGUGUACAGAUUUACCAGCAAAGGGGAGCGCAGGUGCUCGUCUGUUGGGCUGGGAGUGCCGAGGAGCACCAGGGCAGAGCGCCUUUUGAGAAUGCUCCGCUGCAGCCUGGAAAUAGGAGGCAAAGUACAUCUUCUGAAGAGAAAUCUGGCUGACAGUGCACACAGAAAUGUUUCAAAGAGCAGCACGCUGUAGUUAUGCAGCCAUCUGCUGCUCCCAGGGGCUUUGGGAGUGAAAACUGCAGUUGGGCAACAUCUACAGCAAUUUCUGUUGCAAAAUGCAUCGUUGCAGGGAGUGCGCAGGCAGACGGGUUUGCUGCGUUUGAAAACAGCAAGCUACACCCUUCAACGUCCUUGCAUGUGGAGCUUAACUUCAUUGCUGCCCCUCCAGAGAGCAAGCCCAGAGCUCGUUUGGGCAGCUCCAAGCUGCAGCUCCGUGAAGCUCAGCUGUGACAAAUCCAUCUGCUGCCGCCUCAUUGGGAAAGUAUUGCUUGUGCAC